GCCGGGGGAUGCAAUCGUUAUCCGGAAUCACUGGGCGUAAAGCGUGUGUAGGUGGUGAUGCAAGUCACUGGUGCAAAACUCUGGCUCAACCGGAGGACAGCUUGUGAAACUAUUAGACUAGAGUGCUGGAGAGGUAGAAAGAAUUCCUAGAGUAGAGGUGAAAUGCGCAGAUACUGGGAAGAACACCGGAGGCGAAAGCGUCCAACUGGACAACAACUGACACUGAGACACGAAAGCUAGGGGAGAUAAUUGG
rnacentral:rRNA from 1 species